rnacentral:rRNA from 1 species
GAUGAACGCUGGCGGCGUGCUUAACACAUGCAAGUCGAACGGAAAGGCCCUGCUUUUGUGGGGUGCUCGAGUGGCGAACGGGUGAGUAACACGUGAGUAACCUGCCCUUGACUUUGGGAUAACUUCAGGAAACUGGGGCUAAUACCGUAUAGGAGCUCCUGCUGCAUGGUGGGGGUUGGAAAGUUUCGGCGGUUGGGGAUGGACUCGCGGCUUAUCAGCUUGUUGGUGGGGUAGUGGCUUACCAAGGCUUUGACGGGUAGCCGGCCUGAGAGGGUGAACGGCGACAUUGGGACUGAGAUACGGCCCAGACUCCUACGGGAGGCAGCAGUGGGGAAUAUUGCACAAUGGGCGGAAGCCUGAUGCAGCAACGCCGCGUGCGGGAUGACGGCCUUCGGGUUGUAAACCGCUUUCGCCUGUGACGAAGCGUGAGUGACGGUAAUGGGUAAAGAAGCACCGGCUAACUACGUG